CUGAAUUGCCUUCCAAUUUUCAAUCAGUACAAAACGAACAAGCACAAUACAUUAUGAUGGCCAUGAAAGUUGCCCUUACCCUCUUGUUGGUCACCGUUGUAGCUGGUGCCAACGUUCCAUACGGAGUAGUUCCUGAAUGUGCUGGAAAGAUGGCAGGAUCAAAGAUUUACGUAGGCAGUGAUUGUACCAAAUAUGCCAUUUGUCAACCAGCUGGCUUGUCAUUCAUUGAGACGUGCCAAGCGGGACUGGUUUACAACUUGCAAAAGGAUAUGUGUGACUGGCCAGCAAAUGUACCACAGUGUGCAGGAGGAAG